CUGUACAGUUCAGAGUUUGAUCCUGGCUCAGGAUUAACGCUGGCGGCGUGCAUAACACAUUCAAGUCGAACGGAGUAUAGAAAUAUACUUAGUGGCGGACGGGUGAGUAACGCGUGAGCAAUCUACCUUCCAGAACGGAAUAACAACCGGAAACAGUUGCUAAUACCGUAUGAAAUGGCAGUACCGCAUGGUACAACCAUCAAAGAUUUAUCGCUGGGAGAUGAGCUUGCGUCUGAUUAGGUAGUUGGUGAGGUAACGGCCCACCAAGCCGACGAUCAGUAGCCGGACUGAGAGGUUGAACGGCCACAUUGGAACUGAGAUACGGUCCAG
rnacentral:rRNA from 1 species